rnacentral:rRNA from 1 species
CAUGUCUUUUUGAUUAUAAUUUAAAGUCUAAUCUGCUCGAUGAAUAAUUUUUUUUAAAUGGCCGCGGUAUUUUGACCGUGCGAAGGUAGCAUAAUAAUUAGUUUCUUAAUUAGAAUCUGGAAUGAAUGAUUGGACGAGAAAUUAGCUGUCUCAUUUUUAAUUAUUUAAAAUUUUACUUUUAAGUUAAAAGGCUUAAAUUUUAUUGGAAGACGAGAAGACCCUAUAGAGUUUAAUAUUAAUAUUUGAAUUUUAUAAUUUGGUAUUUAUUUAAUAUUUAUUUUUAAUAUUUAAUUGGGGUGAUUAUUAAAUUUAAUAAACUUUAAUUUUUUAUAAACAUAGAUUUAUGGUUUUAUGAUCCAAUAAUUUUGAUUAAAAGAUUAAAUUACCUUAGGGAUAACAGCGUAAUUUUUUUGGAAAGUUCAUAUUUAUAAUAAAGAUUGCGACCUCGAUGUUGGAUUAAAGUUUAAUUUUGGUGCAGAAGCUGAAAAAUUGGGUCUGUUCGACCUUUAAAACUUUACAUGAUCUGAGU